UCACCAGACACCUCUGAUGUCUCAAUCUCUCUUCAGGGCUCCCGAGACACAGAAACAGACACCUGCCCUCGAGGAGCUCACAGUCUAGACAAACAAACCCAGGGUCCAAA
ensembl:miRNA